UGAACUUGGACGAGCAGGUUCUCUCCCUCCCUUAUUUUUUCCACUUCCCUCUCUCUGUCAUAAUCCUACUUUACCUCUUCACUUUCCUUAUCCCACACUGUCUCUCUCUCUCUCUGCCCGAGCCUCCCGUUAAGCUACGGCAUCAUCCCCCAGUCAAUUUCUACCCUUCAUUUAUUUUUUCCCUUUCACCGUUCACUACCACCCUCCCCCUCUUCUCGCUAGUGUUUUGUUUUACACGCCCGCCCCAGCGCGCGGUGUAUGUGCAGGAGGUUUAUGGUAAUUGCGGUCUCCCGACUGGCCUUCUGGGUAGAGUCUGCGCGAUUGAGAGAGUCGCUCGCGGUACAGCAACCCACUCCGCUCCGCGCGCCCUGUUCGGCGUCUUCAGCAACUCCGCACGAAAGGAGCUACCAGGAGCUUUCAGAGAAAAACUACGGAAAGAUAGACAUUCCCGACCUUUUUCACAAUAUCGCCGGAGAUAAAUAGUAUAUUUUCGGAAUAGACUGGGAUUGACGAGAUUGGAAGUAAGAGCUUUGAAACGGCAUGCUCUGAUAAAACCCAACAUGGCGCUGAGAGAUACGACCGAGCUGAAUGCAUUUCAGGAGUCCGCGGACCUCGCCACCUGUAUCCUUGCGCACUGCUAAACUGUACGUUACCAGCCGCUGGGACGUUCUAUAAAGGAUGAUUGGAAACCUUAUUCUAGGGAUUUGUCACACUAAGUCGAUGUUGACGGCAUUUUCUCUCGUCUGGAAACAUAUUGACAUAUUACUGUGAAAAAGUAUUGUGCGAGUGUAAAGGAAAAACUAUAACACAUUGUUUCAUUGACUGACAAGUAAAUAACCCUUUAGCCACACUUCUGCUUAUUUAUAUCCAACGGUUUGAAUAUUCGCUGGCCCGGGAUGUCUAUGCUUUUAUAACGGAAUCGUAACCUCCACGCACGAAUAUUUGCUCAGAGCCGUGAACAACUUGGAAAAACGGGAAAAGGAAAGUCGGAAAUAGAGGAUAUUGACCAGGAGAGUACCUGUUAGUGAUGCGGGGACCCAGAGAAACCUGGAUUUAAGAGAAGGCAACCACAUCACACAAAGCAUGUUGUAGUGUGGUGUAUAACCAGUUGAAGAGUGGUGUAUAUCCAGUUGAAGAGUGGUGUAUA
rnacentral:lncRNA from 1 species